rnacentral:rRNA from 1 species
CCUACGGGAGGCAGCAGUGAGGAAUAUUGGUCAAUGGGCGAGAGCCUGAACCAGCCAAGUCGCGUGAGGGAGUACUGCCCUAUGGGUUGUAAACCUCUUUUGUCGGGGAGCAAAAGCCGGACGUGUCCGGCUGUGAGAGUACCCGAAGAAAAAGCAUCGGCUAACUCCGUGCCAGCAGCCGCGGUAAUACGGAGGAUGCGAGGGUUAUCGGGAUUUAUUGGGUUUAAAGGGUGCGUAGGCGGAUUUUUAAGUCAGCGGGAAAAUCGUGGGGCUAAACCCCAUCCAGCCGUUGAAACUGGGGAUCGUGAGUGUGGGAGAGGCAUGCGGAAGGCGUGGUGUAGCGGUGAAAUGCAUAGAUAUCACGCAGAACCCCGGUGGCGAAGGCAGCAUACCGGUGAGCAACUGACGCUGAGGCACGAAAGCGUGGGUAUCGAACAGGAUUAGAUACCCGUGUAGUC